rnacentral:rRNA from 1 species
CAUCGAGACUCCUACGGGAGGCAGCAGUGGGGAAUAUUGCACAAUGGGCGCAAGCCUGAUGCAGCCAUGCCGCGUGUGUGAAGAAGGCCUUCGGGUUGUAAAGCACUUUCAGUUGUGAGGAAGGUGGUGUCGUUAAUAGCGGCAUCAUUUGACGUUAGCAACAGAAGAAGCACCGGCUAACUCCGUGCCAGCAGCCGCGGUAAUACGGAGGGUGCGAGCGUUAAUCGGAAUUACUGGGCGUAAAGCGCAUGCAGGUGGUUUGUUAAGUCAGAUGUGAAAGCCCCGGGGCUCAACCUCGGAACUGCAUUUGAAACUGGCAGACUAGAGUACUGUAGAGGGGGUAGAAUUUCAGGUGUAGCGGUGAAAUGCGUAGAGAUCUGAAGGAAUACCGGUGGCGAAGGCGGCCCCCUGGACAGAUACUGACACUCAGAUGCGAAAGCGUGGGGAGCCAAACAGGAUUAGAUACCCCUGGUAG